AUGGCGACACACGGCCCUCCCUGGGGCUCCCACUCACCUGGCGGCACGUGCAGGGAGGGCUGCGGGCAUACAGCCUACAGGCUCCUCGGGCCCCACGCCCGGCUCCAUGCUCCACUGCCGCCACCUCGAGGCCGCCAAGCGGCGCCCUCCCCCUGGCCCCCGGGCGCGGGCCUGAGUCGGUCUGCCAUCGGCCAGCGGGGCGCCAAGGGGAGCUCACCUGGCCUCGGGUUCCCUGCCCUAGAAGAGGAUCAUGAGGGCCCGAGUUGGGGACGGGCCCGGCCGGGCCCCCAGCUCUCCUGUGCUUCGCAGUGGCCCCCCCGGGAGCGGGGCACGGGCACCGAGGGCGGGGGGCGGCGGCCUGGGCCGUGGGGCUUGGAGGCCCUGGAGCUGUGGGUUGAGGCCGGGCGGCAGCCCCGCCGUCGGGUAAACACGCCUCCUGCGCUCGGGCCGGAAGGCCUCCCAGGGGCCUGGCCGUGGCCGGGCGUGAGGCUCUGCCGCCCCAACCAUAGUACGCAGCGUGGCCCACGGCCCAGAUGGCUGCUUUUUUGUUUUGUGUUUUUGGAGCUGAGUGUGGAACCGUUUCACCAUUUCAUGGUCAGGGUCCAGGAACCAGCCCGCAGCCCAGGGGCACCAGGUGCCAGGAGCCCCUCGGGGACCCACGGAGAUGCAGCUGGGGUCCCUGGCAACACUCCGGUGACAGACUCCUGGAGGGGGCAGGGGUGGCAAGCAGGGGCAGAGAGUUGGGUGACAGAACAGGCCACUCCUCUGCCUCAGCUCACAGAAACAGUGGGCGCUGCUGUCGGGGAAGAAAGGCUGUGGCUUCCUUGGAAAGCAGGGGCUGAGCCCCAAUUAGGGGACAGGACACUGGUAUCCAAGACCGACUCUGGCAGCCAGACACACUGGCUUCCUAGUUGUGUGACCCGAGGCCAGUUCCUUAAGCCGCGUGGACCUUGGUUUCCUUCUCUGUGGAAUGGGAGUAAGGGUAGCGCCCACCUCACAGAGCCGUUGGCAGACCUCAGGGAGCUGCGCCUGUGGAGCCCUUGGCACACCGUCCAGCGUGUAAUCAUGCCUACAAAUCCUGGGGGCAGGCCGAGAGCUGUAGAGCAACCAGCCCCAUAA
rnacentral:lncRNA from 1 species